rnacentral:rRNA from 1 species
GCAAGAUUAAAACUCAAAGGAAUAGACGGGGACCCGCACAAGCGGUGGAGCAUGUGGUUUAAUUCGACGAUACGCGAAGAACCUUACCUGGCCUUGACAUAGACAGAAGUUUGCAGAGACGCAGAUGUGCUAGUUUACUAGAACUGUCAUACAGGUGCUGCACGGCUGUCGUCAGCUCGUGUCGUGAGAUGUUGGGUUAAGUCCCGCAACGAGCGCAACCCUCGUGUUUAGUUACUAACAGUUCGGCUGAGGACUCUAAACAGACUGCCUGGGUAACCAGGAGGAAGGUGAGGACGACGUCAAGUCAUCAUGGCCCUUACGGCCAGGGCUACACGCGUGCUACAAUGGGGUAUACAAAGAGCUGCAAUACGGUGACGUGGAGCAAAUCUCAUAAAAUAUCUCCCAGUUCGGAUUGAAGUCUGCAACUCGACUUCAUGAAGUUGGAAUCGCUAGUAAUCGUAGAUCAGCAAUGCUACGGUGAAUACGUUCCCGGGUCUUGUACUCACCGCCCGUCACACCAUGGGAAUUGAAUUCAUUCGAAGCGGGGAUGCUAAAAUAGCUACCUUCCACAGUGGAUUUAGUAACUAGGGUGAAGUCGUAACAAGGUA